AUUAACGGACCACCGCCGGAAUCCAUCUCCAGACGAGACUCGUACCAGGAUUGAGGGGCUAGCAAGGCCUACGCACCAUCAAAACCUAAGAACAUUUCGCGGGGUAAGGUUUCUGAACGAUAUUGCUCAGAUCUGAGUUUUCCCCUACGUGAAUCGACCCUAAAAUGUUGAAAUCUUCACCUAGGAACAACUCACGCACGGUCUGUGAAGAAGUUUGGCCGAGACCUCAACCCAAAGGCGGAGAUCCGAGGGUCAUCCGAGAAUGGGACUUAAUUUAGAGAAAUCAGUAUUUUUGGACACCUCACGGGCAAAGAAACGCUAGCGAAAGGGCACGCAGCAACCAGGUGUUCACUGGCUGCUGGUCGAGGUAGAGGAGCGUUUGAGAGUUGUACAGUCACAGAGGGGGUCGUUCCGGAGCGUCAGUCCCUUUUCGGUCUUUUAGAGUCUUUUGUAUUUCAUUUUAUAUUUGCAAUUUCUUUUGUAAUAAUUAACAAACAAAAUUUCUCUCUUU